rnacentral:misc_RNA from 1 species
UCUCCGUUGGUGAACCAGCGGAGGGAUCAUUGCUGGAACACGCCCUCGCGGCGCAUUUCCAUACCCUUUGUGAACUAUAACUCAUCGUUGCCUCGGCGUCGGGCCGGGGGGGAACAGUCCCCCCCCACCCCCCAUAGCGGGGGCGGAGCAGGCCGGCCGGCGGCCCUACAAACUCUUGUUUUUACUGUGUUAACUCUGAGGAAUCAUACAAAUGAAUCAAAACUUUCAACAACGGAUCUCUUGGUUCUGGCAUCGAUGAAGAACGCAGG